rnacentral:rRNA from 1 species
GUCCUUUUGAGAGUUUAUAUAAGGUCUAACCUGCCCAAUGAGGAAUUGAAUGGCUGCGGUAUUUUAACCGUGCUAAGGUAGCAUAAUUAUUUGUCUUUUAAUUAAGGGCUUGUAUGAAAGGUUGGAUGAAGUAAUAACUUUCUUUAAUUUAAUUUUUGAAUUUAAUUUUUUAGUUAAAAAGCUAAAAUUUAUUUAUUGGACGAGAAGACCCUAUAGAUCUUUAUAGUUUAUUGAGUUUUAUAAUUUAGGGAAUUACUUAUUUUUAUUUAAUGGAAUUAUUUGAUUGGGGUGAUUGUAGAAUUUUAAUAACUUCUAUUAUUUAUAAUUUCGAUAAUUAUUGUAUUGUUGAUCCAUAAUUUAUGAUUAAAAGAUUAAGUUACCUUAGGGAUAACAGCGUAAUUUCUUCGGAGAGUUCAUAUUGAUGAAGAAGCUUGCGACCUCGAUGUUGGAUUAAAAUGGGUGUUAGGUGUAGCAGUUUAAUAACUAGGUCUGUUCGACCUUUAAAGUUUU